rnacentral:piRNA from 1 species
UAACAGAUGUCUGAUAUUGGUGUGCUUC